rnacentral:rRNA from 1 species
AGAGUUUGAUCCUGGCUCAGGAUUAACGCUAGCGACGUGCCUAAGGUAUGCAAGUUGAACGGUUUUGAUUGAGUGCUUGCACUUGAUUAAAAUAGUGGCAGACGGCUGAGUAACACGUAGGAAUAUCCCCCAAAGUCAAGCAUAGCUCACCGAAAGGUGGGGUAAUUCUUGAUAGUCUCUUCGGAGUAAAGAUUUUUCGCUUUGGGAUUAGCCUGCGUCCUAUCAGAUUGUUGGUGAGGUAAAGGCUCACCAAGUCUAUGACGGGUAGCUGACCUGAGAGGGUGGUCAGCCAGACUGGGACUGCGAUACGGCCCAGACUCCUACGGGAGGCAGCAACUAGGAAUUAUGCACAAUGGACGAAAGUCUGAUGCUGCGACGUCGCGUGGAGGAUGAAGGUCUUAGGAUCGUAAACUCCUUUUAUUAGGGAACAAAUUUUGAGUGUACCUAAUGAAUAAGUGCCUGCUAACCACGUGCCAGAAGCAUCGGUAAUACGUGGGACACAAGCGUUAUCCGGAUUUACUGGGCGUAAAGAGAUGCGUAGGCGUCUUCUUAAGUUAUUUGUUAAAUCUCUCGAUUCAAUCGAGAAACUGCAAGUAAUACUGGGUUGAUCGAGUUAUGUAGAGAAAAGGGGAAUUCCUGGUGGAGUGGUUAAAUACGUUGAUAUCAGGAGGAACACCAAUGGCGAAAGCACCUUUUUGGACAUAUACUGGCGCUAAGGCUCGAAAGCGUGGGGAGCAAAACGGAUUAGAUUCCCGUGUAGUCCACGCUGUAAACACUCCCUGUUAGAUGUUUGCUUUUUCUUUGGAAUAUUGCGGCUUGUCCGUGGUAGAACAGGUUAAGAUAAGUGUCGUAGUUAACACGUUAAACAGGGCGCCUGGGGAGUACGACCGCAAGGUUAAAACUCAAAGGAAUUGACGGGGACCCGCACAAGCAGUGGAUUGUCUGGUUUAAUUCGAUGAUAAGCGAAGAACCUCACCUGGGCUUGAACUGUAGCUGCACCGCCUCCGAAAAGAGGAAGCCUUCGAGGGUGCUACAGAGGUGCUGCAUGGCUGUUGUCAGCUCGUGUCGUGAGAUGUCGGGUUAAGUCCCACAACGAGCGCAACCCCUAUUCGAUGUUAUAUUUACUUCGAACACUGCCACGCCAAAACGUGGAGGAAGGAGGGGAUGACAUCCAGUCAUCAUAUCCCUUAUGUCCAGGGCUACACAGGCAAUACAAUGGUUACUACAAUGGGCUGCCAAACCGCGAGGUGGAGCUAAUCCCAUCAAAAGUAACCUCAGUUCAGAUUGCAGGCUGCAACUCGCCUGCAUGAAGGUGGAAUUGCUAGUAAUCGUACAUCAGCAUGGUACGGUGAAUACGUUCUCGGGUCUUGUACACACCGCCCGUCAGGGCAUGGGAGUUGCUCUUACUCGAAGUUCAUGUUUAUCAUGGCCGAAAGUUAAGGGUGGCGACUGGGCUUAAGUCGUAACAAGGUA